UGAGGUACCCCCGAAGCAUGUGUUGUCGCCCCGAUGAAAUAUUCUUAGACUAGGUCCCUUAUGUUAGUUGUUUUAGGGACAUUAAAGUGAGAAUAACGGGAAUGGGUAAUUGGGUUAUUGUUGGUUGGUGAAAAUUAAAUAUGAUAUUUAUUGUGGGUUGAAAACCCUAUAUGCUCACCAGGCUCCCAAGCCUGACCCACUCAGUUUUAAAUUGUAUUACAGGUAGUGGCGGAAGGGCAUGAGAUGGAUGAACCAUCAAGUUGUUUUGUUUACAAGUCUGCAUAUGUUUAUAUUUGUUAUAUGACUUGUAAUGUAUUCGUUUAUGCUUAUUGGUCUGUAUCGGAACAUGACACCCCGAGUUUUGAUUAUAAUGAAAAUACAUUUCUUUUAUGAAAUGCUUCGGUAAACAAUGUUUUAUCAUGUUUUGUUUUUGGGAACAAAUUCCGCAACUCUUUCAAAUCAAAAGGAUUUACUCUGAAAAUAUUUAAAAGCAUAAAUGAAAAUCGGUCUUUUCUGGCCGAGAUUUUGGGGAUGUCACAGUUGGUAUCAGAGCAUUAGUUUAAGCGAACUAGGAAUUUGUAGGAUUUCUAGACUUAAACUUAGAAUGCUAAGUGGAAUUUUGAGAUGUGUGUCUGUUGUGUUUUAGACACGAGCACUAGUAUAUUUUAGGAAAGUUGCUAAAAUGCUUUUAUGUGCUAAAUGUUAUAUGUUGCCAUAUAUGAUAUUAUUUGUUCGGAUCUAUGGUCUGUUGCCGACCGGAUCUAUAAACCUUAUUUGUGUAGGAUUCUAAGCGUACGUCUACGAUAUUAGAACUAGCAUGUAAACGUUUCGGAGUGAUAAGGAUGAUUUGAAUAUCUAUCAUGAUUGAGGAUCUAAUUUCACCUUAUUCGGUGUAGAUCAAAAUGGUGAGAACAAGAAGUGGAGUUGGAAAUGCUGACGAAAACAGGAAUCAACCACCAGUGAUUGAGCCAAUACCUGUCGUAGCAGCAGCACCUGAGCCAAUAACCAUGGCUGGUGUGCAAUUGAUGAUUCAGACGAUGUUGGAUCGUCAGAUGGAUGAAACUAGACGGUUGCUUCAACAAAAUCGUGAAGAACUGUCGAUUCGUGUGGAAGAGCCUGAACUGAAUGAAGGGCACUCGGAAGGUGGAAACUUCAGUGGGUCUGUUGGUCCAGCCAACCCACCGAUAGUUAGGCAAGAUAACCAUGAUGGAAGGAAUGAUGGAAUGGGAUGCAAGUACAAGGACUUUUUGACUUGCAAACCAUCGACCUUCAAUGGAAAGGAGGAUCCGAUUGGGGUUAUGGAUUGGAUCUCCGAAAUGGAGCUAGCCUUCAUGACUUGUGGCUGCAAAGGUAAAUUGCAGACUAUCUGUGUCGUGCGUCAGUUCCGAGGUGGAGCUAUUCGUUGGUGGAACACUCUAGGGAAGACCUUAAGCCCUAAUGAGCCACUGCAAUUGUCAUGGGCAGAGUUCUUGGUGCAGUUCAAGCGCAAGUUCUGCUCGGCUCAAAAUCUGUUGGAGUUGGAGAAUAAGUUUUUGACAUUGACGAAGGGUAGCAUGUCAGUUGAUGAAUACACCAAUAACUUCACCGAUAAGAUGGAGUUUGCCUUGCGUAUCGUUCCAGACGAGCUGACAAAGGUGGAUCGGUAUGCGAAGGGACUUCCAUGGGAGUACGAGGUGCCGGUACGUCAGGCACUUACUCUAGAGGCAGCUAUCUGGGCUGCCAAGUCUGUGGAGAACAUGAUCAAGGGGAGAACCACCGUCAAGGUUGAGGUUGGUGAGAAAAGGAAGUUUGAAGGAACAUCUGGUUCCAGUAAGAAGAGCAAAUUUUCGAAAUCUGAUUCGAAAAAGUUUGGAGGAAAAGGAGGCGAAGCAAAGUGGUGUGAUAAGUGUAAGAAAAAGCACUUUGGGAAAUGUAGCGAGGAUGUGACCUGCUACAAGUGUGGAAAGGUUGGACAUUUUGCCAAUGAAUGUCCGAACAACAAAAGGAUGUGUUUUGGUUGUAAUGAAGAGGGGCAUAUUUUGAAAGACUGUCCGAAGAAGAAGGAGGCAGCUAGGCCCAACAUUCCACCAAAGCCGAAGGCGAGAGCCUUCCAGAUGACACUUGAGGCUGCGAAAGAUGAAGCUGAUGUCGCUUCAGGUACCUUUCUCGUAAACGAAUUACCUGCUCAUAUAUUGUUUGAUUCUGGAGCCAACUACUCCUUUAUUUCGCAUGAGUUUGGUAGAAAGCUAGCUUUGCCUGUUGAUAGACUAAAUAAUGCUUUAUUAGUCGAAGUAGCUAGUGGCAAGUUUGUACCUGUUAGCCAUCGUAUGAAAAACGUCUUGAUCGACCUUAAUGGGAAUAAGUUUCUCGAGGAAUUAUUGCCUAUCGAACUAAAUGGUUUCGACAUCGUCUUGGGAAUGGAUUGGCUUAGCGCCAAUGAUGCCGAAAUUUUGUGCAAGAAGAAGAUAGUUAAAGUAAACCCGCCUGGAAAAGAUUCGUUUAUGGUGUAUGGGGACAAACGCAGAGUGAAUUCUGGAAUCAUUUCUCUAAUGAAAGCCAGAAAGUGUUUGACCAAGGGAUGUACAUCAUAUUUAGCAUUCGUGAUUGAUGCUAAGAAAGAAAAGAAGGUGAUGCAGAGCAUUCCAGUGGUGUGUGAUUAUCCGGAAGUAUUUCCCGAGGAUCUUCCUGGAUUACCACCUGAUAGACAAGUGGAGUUCAGAAUAGACUUGUUACCAGGAACCACGCCAAUAGCAAAAGCACCUUAUCGAUUAGCACCGACGGAGAUGAAGGAGCUAAUGAUGCAACUUCAGGAGUUAUUGGACAAAGGUUUCAUUAGACCUAGUUCAUCGCCCUGGGGAGCUCCGGUGUUAUUUGUAAAGAAGAAAGAUGGAAGUAUGAGAAUGUGCAUCGAUUACAGAGAGCUGAACAAGGCAACAAUAAAGAAUAGAUAUCCGUUGCCGAGGAUUGAUGACCUGUUUGAUCAAUUGCAAGGUUCGAGCUAUUUCUCGAAGAUCGAUCUUAGGUCAGGAUAUCAUCAGCUGAAAGUAAGAGAGCAAGAUAUCGAGAAGACUGCAUUCAGAACUAGAUAUGGACACUACGAGUUCUUGGUUAUGUCGUUUGGACUAACCAAUGCUCCAGCAGCGUUCAUGGAUUUGAUGAAUAGGGUUUGUAAUCCUUUCCUUGAUAAAUCCGUGAUAGUGUUCAUAGACGACAUUCUGAUCUACUCGAAAAGCCAGGAGGAGCAUGGCAGACACUUGCGAGAAGUGUUAGAAGUUUUGAAGAAGGAGAAGCUUUAUGCGAAGUUCUCCAAAUGUGAUUUUUGGAUUCGUGAAGUCCAAUUCUUGGGUCACGUGGUCAACCAAGAAGGGAUAAUGGUUGAUCCAGCGAAGAUCGAAGCUGUGACGAAGUGGGAACAACCGAAAAGUCCCACGGAGAUUCGAAGCUUUUUAGGAUUAGCCGGAUAUUACCGAAGGUUUAUCCAAGGCUUUUCUUCGAUUGCUACUCCAUUAACAGCUUUGACCCACAAAGGAGCUACUUAUGCUUGGAGUGAGAAGCAUAAAGAAGCAUUCGAGAAGUUAAAGAAGAAGCUAUGCGAGGCACCGAUACUUUCUCUACCCGAUGGAGUUGAAGACUUCGCUGUUUAUAGCGAUGCGUCUGGUGUUGGAUUGGGUUGUGUUUUGACCCAAAGAGAAAAGGUGAUAGCAUAUGCGUCUCGACAGCUGAAAGAGCAUGAAAAGAAUUACCCGACUCAUGAUUUGGAGUUGGCAGCGGUAGUUUUCGCUCUGAAAAUAUGGAGGCAUUACCUCUAUGGCACGAAGUGCAAACUUUUCACUGAUCAUAAGAGUCUCCAAUACCUCUUUAAUCAGAAAGAAUUGAAUAUGAGGCAACGACGCUGGCUAGAAUUACUUAAAGACUACGACUGCGAGAUACUUUACCACCCCGGUAAAGCUAAUGUUGUUGCUGAUGCUCUCAGUCGGAAGGUCAAUCUUGAAAGGAAGAGGCCAAGAGCGUUGAGAAUUGAAGUUGUCUCGACCAUUGUGGAAAGUAUAAAGAAAGCUCAAGAGGAAGCUUCUGAGAAAAAUGACCGAAAGGAGGAACGUUUGGGUAAAACGUUGGUGUUUGGUACUAACGGUCAUGGACUGAAGGUAUUCCAAGAUCGUAUUUGGGUACCUAAGUCAGGAGGAAUUAGAGAUCUUCUGAUGGAAGAAGCUCACAAGACCAUGUACUCGAUUCAUCCGGGUAGCACUAAAAUGUAUAGGGACCUGAAACCCUACUACUGGUGGCCGACGAUGAAGCUUGAUGUUGCAAAGUAUGUGGCCGAGUGUGUGACUUGUGCGAGAGUCAAGACACAACAUCAGAAACCGUACGGGAGUUUAGAACCUUUGCCUGUGCCUAUGGGUAAGUGGGAAGACAUUGCUAUGGAUUUUGUCACUAAACUGCCCAGAACAAAGAAUGGUCACGACAUGAUUUGGGUGGUCGUUGAUCGAUUCACUAAGAGUGCGCAUUUCAUAGCGGCCAGGGAGAAAUGGUCUAUGGAAAAGCUUGCGAAUUCUUACGUGAAGGAAAUUGUGAGGCUUCACGGUGUUCCGUUAACGAUUGUAUCGGAUCGUGAUAGCCGUUUCACCUCAAGGUUUUGGAAAAGUCUACAAGAGGAAAUGGGUACCAAGUUAUGUUUAAGCACAGCUUACCAUCCGCAGACUGAUGGUCAGAGUGAAAGAACAAUACAAACACUUGAAGAUAUGCUGAGAGCAUGUACCUUGGAAUUCCUAGGUAAUUGGGAUGAACAUUUACCGUUGGUAGAAUUUUCCUAUAAUAAUAGUUUUCACUCGAGCAUUAAGAUGGCACCUUAUCAAGCUUUGUAUGGACAGAAGUGUCGUACGCCGUCUUGUUGGCUUGAGGCUGGGGAAAAGCAGUUUAUGGGACCGGAGAUGGUUCAUCAAACUGCUGAAAAGUUGAAAAUAAUUAGGGAAAGAAUGUUAGCAGCUCAAGAUCGUCAAAAGAGCUAUGCUGACAAGAAGCGAAGACCGAUGACUUUUGAGGUUGGAGAUUCGGUUUUGCUUAAAGUCUCGCCGUGGAAGGGACUUAUAAGAUUUGGUAAAAGGGGAAAGUUGAGUCCAAGGUUUAUUGGACCGUUUAAAGUUCUUCAGAGGAUUGGGAACCAAGCUUACAAGCUCGAAUUACCCGAAGAACUGAAUGGAAUUCACAACACUUUUCAUGUGUGUUAUUUGAGGAAGUUCACGGGAGAAGUUCCCGAUAUAAUUCCAAUUUCUGAAUUGAGAAUUGAUGAGAACAAAAGGUUGAUUGAAGAACCAGAGGCAAUUGUUGACCGAAAGACUAAGAAGUUGCGACGCAAAAUGGUUGGGUUAGUGCUUGUCCGAUGGAAACACACGAAUGGGCCGAAUCUCACCUGGGAGACGGAGAGUGACAUGUUGAGUCGCUAUCCGCAUUUGUUUGUUGAUGUGUGAUUCCGGGGACGGAAUCAUUCUAAGGUGGAGAGAAUUGUAACGCCUGUGUUUCCGGGCUUGCCAUUUUUAGCAAUGUAAUAGUCUAGGUUAACCUUUGUAACCCGUUUUGAAAUAAUAAGAUUGUAUUAUUUGAGUAUUAUGUGUUUUGUGCUUAAUUGCUUAAUUAUGUGGUUUGAUUAAUUAAGAAUAAAAAUAAGCGUCAAAAUUUAAGUGUAAAAUAAACUUAAUAUCUUUGGAUAAUGUUGUAGUAGUUGAAACGAGGUUUCCGAAUAUAUAUAGAACGCCCAAAUCUGACUUCGUAUGAGGAAGUUAUGAUUUAUCGAAGUUCCGGCUUAGCGGUAUACAGCCUGAAAUACUCGAAUUGAGAUCGAGCGGUUUUUAGCCGAAGCAAUCUAAAUGAGAAUCGAAGAUCUCGUUGUUGGUAUCGAAGCGAUAAAAAGUUAGGCGAGAACGGACGUCAAACGAAGAAGUUAUGAAUUUAUAACGAAAGUUUCUGUCGCGGCCUAUUAAAAAUAAUUAAUAAAAAUAAAGUCAAAAUUAGCCGACGGAGUCUAAACGAAAGUUGUAGAGCGUAGUCUCACCUUCGCGUGGAUAUAAAGAACGUCGAAAACGGAGUUCGUAUGAAGAAGAUAUGAAUUUCCGAAGUUUAUUAAAUAAUUUGUAUUUAAUUUUAAUUGGAAAAUCCGGCAUUAUCCGAAGGGGAGUCAGCAAUCCGAUCCGAAGUACGCCCCGCGUACACCGAAGAUGUCGACACUCGCAGCAAGUGGCUUCGGAUGACGAACGCAGUGACGAUUUCGGACCAGUACGCCCCGCGUACUCCGAGGCUCCAGCCUCCUAUAAAUAGGAUGCGAGGGCAGCCGAGUUCUUUUGCUAUUUUCUCUCUUCUCUCUCCCGUUUUGCAUCGAUUUGCGUGCCAGAAAUACCCCGAAGCCCCGGUAUUAUUCUCGAGCCCCGAGGCAAGUCCCGAGAUCCCGAAGAUCCCGAGAAGUGCGGUUCCCGAGCCGAAGCUCUGCCCGCGAGAAGUUCGAUUUUUGUAGAGAUCUUCCAGAUCUGCUGAGGAUUACUACUUCUGCAAGUCGUAGUGCUGUCCGAUCAUCUUCUGAUCAAGUGAGUGUAUACUACCUUUCAUAAACACGAUAAUAAUACAAGUAUGGUUUGAGUGUAUUAAGUAUAUUGUUGUUUAUAUGUGUGAAUGUGUAUUCACUUUCUUCUAACUCAUAGAUAUGAUUUAUUCUCUAUGAGAUAUGUGUUAUGUGUGUGUGUGCCUCAUCUGUUAUGUGAAAUAUGUGUUGAUUAAAGCAUGCUAUACAGGUUUUUAAACUAUGUAUAAAAAUGUAUAUUUUUAUCUACUAAUAUGUUGGGUAGAACAUGGGUAGAUAGUUGGUGUGUAAUAAACAGAUGAGAGGCCUCGUUGUUGUUUGAUUUAGUCAUCUAGCGGAGUUUAGAUGACGACCACAGACUUUUCUAGACAGUCUUGUGGAAACAUUAGCAGGUUCGCCACCUGUAGGUGUUAAUGAACUUGGGUGUUCAUUCGCUGUACUCCAUCCCCCUCAUGGUUGCCUUAUUUGACUUAUAUUGCUGAGGUACCCCCGAAGCAUGUGUUGUCGCCCCGAUGAAAUAUUAUUAGACUAGGUCCCUUAUGUUAGUUGUCUUAGGGACAUUAAAGUGAGAAUAACGGGAAUGGGUAAUUGGGUUAUUGUUGGUUGGUGAAAAUUAAAUAUGAUUAUUUAUUGUGGGUUGAAAACCCUAUAUGCUCACCAGGCUCCCAAGCCUGACCCACUCAGUUUUAAUUGUAUUACAGGAAGU
rnacentral:lncRNA from 1 species